rnacentral:misc_RNA from 1 species
UCCGGUUUGUCACCGGCAGUCACCUUAGAGUGCCCAUCCGUAAUGCUGGCAACUAAGAUCAAGGGUUGCGCUCGUUGCGGGACUUAACCCAACAUCUCACGACACGAGCUGACGACAACCAUGCACCACCUGUCUCCGCUGUCCCGAAGGAAAACUUCAUCUCUGAAGCCGUCAGCGGGAUGUCAAGGCCUGGUAAGGUCCUUCGCGUUGCUUCGAAUUAAACCACAUGCUCCACUGCUUGUGCGGGUCCCCGUCAAUUCCUUUGAGUUUCAGUCUUGCGACCGUACUCCCCAGGCGGAAUGCUUAAUGUGUUAACUUCGGCACUAAGGAGUUCGUGCUCCCUAACACCUAGCAUUCAUCGUUUACGGCGUGGACUAC